UAAUACUAGAUUUGUUGGAUUUUAUCACUCAAUCGAGAUAAUAUACGGAAAAUGAACCACAAAUAGUCAAAAAAAUAGUAAAAAACAACACAAGAAAUGGUCACCCAGUUCGGCAAAAGCCUACUCUGGGGAGCUCAGAGGUAAGAGCCUCUCAUUAUGUACAAGAACCUCGCAAAAGAGAGUUUAAGUUUAGAGUACAACAAUCAGCUCACCUACUCAGCCAACAGAUCAUCGAUCCAUAAAAGAUUUCACAAAAACUACUCCUAAUCGACACAGGUGUAGUAAGUUCUUUACAGUUCACAACCAACCAAAAAGGCUGCCCCAAAAACCUCCUGUCAAGAAUGCUAGACACAAGCCGAGUAUAACUUGAAAUCACCAUAGACCACAGGCCACAUAUCAAAGGCCAAGAUCUAAUUUACAGCCAAAAAAAAGAAAUUCCAUAUCUAAAAUUGAGAAAUCAGAUUUACAAUGAGAGAGAGAAUCGCCGGAGAGAUGGAACCAAAAGCCAAAAAUGAAAGAAUGAAUCCUUCAAAACGCUCUAGCCCAAGAGUCAAGGGAUUUCAAUU
rnacentral:lncRNA from 1 species